UUUUCCUCCAGUCUGUGAAAUCUUGCAGAUGCCAUUAGGAGCACCGGAGGACACAGAGGCUCUGCUCAGUCCUGUGCUGUGUACUGAACUGAAUGCCCACAGCGUCUCCGGUCCUCUGAUGACAGGGUUGAAACUGGACACCAAUGUCAUUCUUCUGUGAUGUCAAUAUUACCUGGAUGACUGCUCUGCUUCUAAACCACGACUCGAAAAUAUGUGUGCAUGUGGUUUAGAGAUGUCGAGUGUGGAAAAAGAGCAGGAGAAAAGUGGAGGGAGGUGGAAGAGGAUAUGACGGAGAAACACUCGGCCUGCUCAUUACAAACAGUGGUCUAAAUAUGUUUAUGUGAUGCUUUAAAUGCUUUUCGUGAGUGUCACCUGCAAGAAAACAAACACAGCCUUCUCUGGAAUAAAUAAAAAGUGUCUAACUUUU